AAUUUUUUGGAAGCGAAUUGAAAAACAAAAUGACUAGUUAAGAAGUCAUUUAAGAAUGUUUUUUUUUGGGUACAGUUUAUUAUUUGAAAAAUAAAAUGACCAGUUAAAAGGCCAUCUAAGAGUGUUUUUUUUUUUUUUUUUUUUUGAAUACAGUUUAUUGCUAUAGUGCUUUUGUCACCGUGCAGAAGUAACAACACAGAACAACAAUUCGGUGCUUUCAAUUCUAGUAUUUAUUUUUAUUUUUAAAGCACACUAAAAAUUGCCCACCAUGCUUUCGUGUUUUAUUUUGUUAAAAAAAAAGGAAAAAAAAAAGCAGUUAUUGCCAAACAGUAAUUGGAAGCCGAAAAUAAUAUUUUAAAUACAAAAGCCACUUUCAUAUUGAAUUUUGAGUGGAAAAUGGACCUUUUUUUAUUUUUUAUUUUUUUAUAAUUAAGUUACAUCAUGAUUUAGAACUCCAGUUUCCAAGAUGCAAGGUUUUUUUUAUUUUUAUUUAUUUUUAUCUUAUUUUAUUUUAUUUUAUUUUAUCUGAUUAGCAAUUUCUUUUCCUACUAUUAUUAGGAAAUUUGAUUGUCAAAAAGCUUAUAAAAAUAUUUUACUUUUCUUCCCUUUCCAAAAUCGGAGCCCUUGAAAGCUGCCCCUUUCUUGGAAAAAAAAAAUGUCAUCCAUCGGAGAAGCCAAAUUGUAGCUCAUUCGGAGUCCAAAUUGUAGUUCCAAACCCAAGGCAGCACAUGUCUCUUCUCUUCUCAUCCAUCGGAGUCCAAAUUGUAGCUCAUUCGGAGAAGCCAAAGUCAACCCGAGAUUCUCUCCAGUUCGGCUUAAAUUCAGCAUCUCUCCUUAAUUUCCAGGAGAAUGAACCAGUGCAGCAGAAGCAGCUGCUCUAGCAGUGUGGAUGUUGUGUCACACUGUGAUGACCUUGUAACCGAGAUUUUGCUUCGAUUGCCUCUACACUCCGUCUUCAAGUUCAAGUGUGUAUCGAAGACGUGGAACUGUUUGAUCUCCGAUCCUAUUUUCUGCAGCAAUUACCAGUCCCAAAGAAAGAAUUCUCUUCUCCCAUUGUUGGGAUUCUUUCGGGU